UGGGGAAUAUUGGACAAUGGGGGCAACCCUGAUCCAGCCAUGCCGCGUGAGUGAAGAAGGCCCUAGGGUUGUAAAGCUCUUUCAGCAGGGAAGAUGAUGACGGUACCUGCAGAAGAAGCCCCGGCUAACUCCGUGCCAGCAGCCGCGGUAAUACGGAGGGGGCUAGCGUUGCUCGGAAUUACUGGGCGUAAAGAGCACGUAGGCGGGUAUUCCAGUCAGGCGUGAAAGCCCCGGGCUCAACCCGGGAACUGCGCUUGAAACUGAAUACCUAGAGUCCGAGAGAGGGUGGUGGAAUUCCCAGUGUAGAGGUGAAAUUCGUAGAUAUUGGGAAGAACACCAGUGGCGAAGGCGGCCACCUGGCUCGGUACUGACGCUGAGGUGCGAAAGCGUGGGGAGCAAACAGGAUUAGAUACCCCCGUAGUCC
rnacentral:rRNA from 1 species